UGCGUAGCCGAACUGAGAGGUUGAUCGGCCACAUUGGGACUGAGACACGGCCCAAACUCCUACGGGAGGCAGCAGUAGGGAAUCUUCCACAAUGGGCGAAAGCCUGAUGGAGCAACGCCGCGUGGGUGAAGAAGGUCUUCGGAUCGUAAAACCCUGUUGUUAGAGAAGAAAGUGCGUGAGAGUAACUGUUCACGUUUCGACGGUAUCUAACCAGAAAGCCACGGCUAACUACGUGCCAGCAGCCGCGGUAAUACGUAGGUGGCAAGCGUUAUCCGGAUUUAUUGGGCGUAAAGGGAACGCAGGCGGUCUUUUAAGUCUGAUGUGAAAGCCUUCGGCUUAACCGGAGUAGUGCAUUGGAAACUGGGAGACUUGAGUGCAGAAGAGGAGAGUGGAACUCCAUGUGUAGCGGUGAAAUGCGUAGAUAUAUGGAAGAACACCAGUGGCGAAAGCGGCUCUCUGGUCUGUAACUGACGCUGAGGUUCGAAAGCG
rnacentral:rRNA from 1 species